rnacentral:lncRNA from 1 species
GCGUCUUUUGUCAUUUUCACAUUGUACGGAAUGAUGAUUGUCGCAUUGACUCCUGGCCAGCAAGUUGCUACCAUUGUCUUGUCCUUCUUCCUUGCACUAUGGAACUUGUUCGCCGGUUUCAUGAUUCCCAGACAGGUAUGUGCUGCAAACACAAUACUUCUUCCAUAUUUGAUUUUCCAUUUUUAUCCACGUCAAUAUGAAUAAAAUCGUCCCUAAAGCCGUUGAGGGCAUAGCAUAAAAAAUUUGUGCAGCUGCGUAAGCUGAAAAUGAACAAGACCGUGCUGAAUGGAAGCAAGUUUUAAUUUUUAUUUCUUCACAAUUCUGUAGCAUCUAUUUUUUAGACUAACAGUUGAUGUGCAUACACAACAGGAAAUUCCUGUCUGGUGGAGGUGGUACUACUGGCUUUCUCCGGUGGCUUGGAAUCUGUAUGGCCUUGUGACUUGUCAAGUUGGUGACGUAGAGACACAGGUGCAGAUCCCUGAUGGCACUUCAAUGACAGUGAAGCAAUUUGUCAAAGAUAAUUACGAUUACAAGACUGAUUUCAUUCCUGUGGUCGCUGUUGUGCAUCUUGCCUGGAUUGCCGUCUUCUUAUUUGUGUUUGCCUAUGCCAUCAAGUCCAUCAACUUCCAAAGGAGAUAAACCUGUAGCUCAAAUCUUUAGAAUGCUACCUAUUCUUAGAAUUGUAAUCUUUCAAUUUUGCUUGUUACUUGACUUUUAAGUAGAAAUUGUGAUAUGGAAUCCAAUGUAUUCUUUUAUGAAAAUUAAAUGAAUAAAGAAGUUUAAUUUUUGCAAAGAAUUUUUCAUAGAAAUUGUGAUAUCUACAUAUUUCUUAGCCCAUGGAAAAAUUCAGUUUAAGAAAAUACCCCCACUUGAUCCUGGAGUUUUCUCUAGGAUUCAAACAAUCUUCUGAGUUUUCUCUUCAAAGUUGUGAUAUUUUACGAAUCUUGAAAGUAUUUACUGCAUGCAGAUGGAGAAUUAAAAGUCCAUUAACCUGGAAGUAUGCCAGUUUUCUGCUUUCGCGUUUCUAAAUAAAACAGUGGGAUUUUCACUAGCUAGUGAAUUAUCAUCCGACCCCUGUACAGCUUUGUCUAUGUUUUUGGUUUGGUAUCUCUCCCUCUUUCAUUCAUCAAGUUAAUAUUAUUUACAUGUUUACUGUGGGGAUUUUCUCACAGAGCAUUGAUACCUGGACCUCCAGUAUCUGAUGAAUGUGUCAGUUAGACACUAGGGAUGGCAAUGGAUUGGAUCUGAUCCAAUAUCCACGUGAUCCAAAUCCAAUCGGAUCGGAUUUGGAUCGGUUUAAAAUGGAUUUGGAUCGGAUUUGGAUAUUAAUGUGCGGAUCUAAGAUGGAUCUGGAGCAGAUCUGGAUCUAUCUUAAUAUCUAAAUCCAUAUCCAUAUCCACUCAUCUUUUAAUUUUAUUUUAUUUUAAAAGUUUCUUAACAAUUGUGAAAUUAUAAUGAUAAUAAAUUUUAUUCAUAACAUAUUAGUAGUAUUUACCAUGCAUUUAAACUCUUAAAACUUAAAGGUUAGUUUUGUAAAUUUAAAGGUCAGUCAGCCUCAAAACAUGUACAUGCAAUAUUCAAAUUGUAAGUCAAGUAAUAUAACUUGACAAUUUAUUUUAUUAUAUUGGCCAAAUAAUUUUUAAGGAAUAUAGUUAUUCAUAUAUUUAGUCAAAUAUGGUCAUAAUAAAAAUAAUAAAGGACUGAAUAUAAAUCAUAUUUAAUUUAUAUAUCAUUAUCUAAUGUUGUAGGAAUGAGGGUAGGUGUAUCGUGGAUAUUAGAAUGGUGAAGGAGACAAUAGAAUAUUAGAUUGAUCUUACUCUUGCAAUUACUUCGGAAUGAUAUUUUAUUAUCUUUCUUAUUUGUUGUUUUGGUGUAAAAGUAUAAGCUACAAUAUUUAUUAUAUUUUUGAGAAAAAUUAUAUAAUUUAUUUGUUAUCAAUACAUUUUACCCUUCAAUUUUCAAUCUAAAAAAUUAUUACUUUUUUAUUACUGAAUUUUAGAAUUCAUGACGAAUCUAGAGCAGAUUUGGAUUUUAAUUUUUUUUUUCCGGAUUUGGAGCAGAUAUAGAUAUUUAUUUCUUUUUUGGAUCUGGAUAUGGAGCGAAAAAUGUGGAUUCAUGACGGAUCUAAAGCAGAUACGGAUCUUGAUUUUUAUUAUGGAUUUAGAUUUGGAGCAGAGUAGAUCCAACCCAUAUCUGCCCCAUUGCCAUCCCUAUUAGACACCCGAGACCAUAAUAAGUAGCAUCCAAACCGUAAAUCCGUUACCUUAUUUGUCAUAUUUAAUAGAUUGUCUAAAUUUGACUAGAAUUAUAGUACUAUGUAUAAUUAGGUGUAUGAACUCAACCGAUUGUUAUAAUUAAGCCCAAAUAGCAGUUUACAUAUAAGUCUAAUAGAAGGCCACAUAUAAAGCCCAACAUAGAAAAUAUGAAAAUAAACUCUCACUACUGUAUAGAGAGACUUGAACCCUCUACCUAAUACAAAAGAUAUUAACAAAUUCCACCAAAUAAUUGUCAGCUAUUAUACCCUAAAAUUAAGAAUUUUUUGAUAGAUAUUUUCUCAUAAAAUCAAUAAACUUUGACCAUAUCAAGCAAAAUAGUAAUAUCAAUCCACUUACCUACUCUUGGUACUACUAGUAGGAAGUUAAGUUAUAAUUUUAGAGUGUUUGAUAAAUACUUGCAAUUCUGUUGGAAGCUUAAGUCACAAUUGUUUGAUGAUGAAAUUUUGAAAAUAGAUUUAUUAUUUAAUUCAUAAUAUUUUUGAAAAGAAACAUUAUUUCACCUUUUAAUAUGUAUUUAAUAAUUGAUCCAAUGUAUGAGAAAGGAUAAUUUAUUUUAAUUAUGAUAUAUGAUAGGUGUAAUGUCAAGAUCAAAGCUACUUGAUUCAAAGUUCAAACCAAACCCACAUCAAUUAACUAGAGUGGUUCGUUAAAAGGAAAAAAAGAAAAAGAAAAAGAAAAAAAAAAAAGAGUUGUGGUUAUUGAAAUCCAAAGUCAUGCCGGGUCACCUUCAAACUCGUACUUUGGACAUUCCUUUAUUUCCCUGGUGUCUUGCUACAGAUAUUUAUGGAAACCGAAUACAUAACAUUUUUUUUAAUUGGGUAUUUAAAAGACAGGAUCAUUAUUUAUAUAUUUUAUUUAUUUAUUAUAUUUAAAUUUGUUAAUUGGAAAAAUCCAACGUCUAAAACCACUAGCCCUUGAAUUUCAGAAACGGUUAUAUUAUAAUUAUGCCUAUCUGAUAAUAAUAAUGCAAGCUGAAGCUCUUUGAAAAGGGCAAUAACAAUAAUAAUAAUAAUAAUAAUAAUGCAACUAAAUGAUUAUAAAAACUUUUGUUAUGUUAUAUAAUCAUGUAACAUAUAUGAUUAUGUAGUAAUUAUAAAAAUUUUAUUUAAUUAUAAAAAUAAUAUAAUUUUAUUAUUUUAUACCUACAGAACUGUUGAAUGAAAAUUCAAUUAACUGCUGCAUAAUUGUAUAGUUAUGUAACGUAAGGAUCUCCGAUUAUAAAAUAAAAAGUAAAAGAAGUCCCCUGUUAAAGAAAAGCGAUGUGAUUACUGAUGGAGUUCAUGAACAAAGAAAACUGAAGUGAACAAGAAUCUUGUGCCCCACGUGACUAUAUGUGGGCCCGCUGUGCACGAGGAUUAAGGAUGCUUUCACUCUGUUCACGUGGGAAGAUCAUAAGCAAAAUUUCUCGUCCAGUGGCAGUACUAUUGUGAUCCGAGCAUAUUACUUGCUGGAGGACUGAUUCCAAUCAGAAUGCGACACAGUAGCACUCAUUGAGUUGACCUCCGGACAUGCUAAGAGAAAAUUCAUCACUUGACCAAUUCAGACAAUUUGUCUGCCUGAGAAAUGGAGAUGCGUAGGCGAUAUAUAGAUUUUGCUACCUUACAUGUAAUAUAAGGUACAACCUUUUACAAGGCUGUAGGCUUAAAUAAGACCCAUAAUUCAAUUUGUGAGAGACUCUAAGGUAGCAGCUCCCUCUAUAUAUAUAUAUAUAUAUAUAUAUAUGGGUCCUUCUAUCUUACAUGCAUGCAAGAUACAUCCCCUUACAUGAAUAGUGCAUGUGUGGGACCUACACACUAUUCAUGUGAGAGAAAUAUAUCUUACAUGCAUGUAAGAUAAUGUUUGCCUAUAUAUAUAUAUAUAUAUAUAUAUAUAUAUAUAUAUAUAUAUAUAUAUAUAUAAAUAGCACUCACACCCAAACAGGCUUUGCCUAACUUUCUGGAAAAUAUUAUUAACUGUACUGCAACUGAAAGAAAGGCUUUUGUCUUUUGAGCUGAUUGCAUUACUGCCCAGUGCAAAUUGAGCUUUCUUGAGAAAAGCAAAAAAUGAUCCUUUCCCUUUCUUUCUGGAUUAAAAAUCUUUCUCAUUAUCACGCGCAUGCAUCGUUGAGUGUGAGCUCGGCAAACUUCUAACGUUAUCUCUGACUUUGAUGAUUCCAGCCAAUUUCCUCUCUUUCAUACCAGAGGCGAGGGUAGUACAAUGAAGUUGCUAUGUAACGGCACGUUUGGUGUUUUAUAUAUAUAUAUAUAUAUAUAUAUUUUCAACUUGUAUUUUUUUUCAAAAAAAAAAAAUGGUAAUAUUGAAGGGGACGAAAUCAUAAAUUACUUAAAAUGGCUAAAUUAGCCUUUGUUGUCUUGAGUUUCCAAAGGUCUAAAAUGUGGGUCUGAUAUUCGUCAAGAGUAAUGAUACAACCAUAAAUUAUUGUAUAAAUUUAUUUUGUACAAACUGACGUGGCACUAAUUCAUUGGUUGAAUAAAAAUAUAAAAUAAUAAAAACAAAUCAUGUGGGUCAAGUGAUAUUUAAUUCAACCAAUCUUAUCAUGCCACAUAAAUUUAUACAAAAUAAAUUUGUACAAGAAUUUGUAGCUAUAUCAUUACUCAUUCGUCAAAGACACUAUACUGACUAUAUAAAGGGAACUUUUCAUUCAAAAAUGUAUUCUCUCUUUCAAUUUCUUAUACACACAACUGAGGGACAAUAGUGCUCUUGCAAAAUCUAUUAUGUGUGUGUCUCUCUCUCUCUUUUUUUCCCCUUUAAUUUUCUGCAUCUCUCUUCAGUUAUGUGUAUGAGAAAUUGAAAGAGAGAAUCCCUUUCUAAAUGAAAAGUUCCCUUUUUAUGUAUAUGUAGUUGUUUAUGGAGGAAAAUAACUAUCCUUCUCUUGAAUGUCCGUCCAAGUGCAGCUGCUUCGUGUUCACGAUAAUGUGGUGAAAUAGGAUUUGCUGGUGUAAAUCUAUGCACCUACAACUCUAUAAAUUAAAAUGGUGUUGUUGAGUUAAUAUUUUUUUAUAUAACCGAGACAUUAAUUUUGUAUUUAAAUGAUGUCACAUACAUUUAAAGGAUCAUUCUUUCGUAAAAUUUUAUAAUUUUUUGAAAACUGGAACGCACAUGGAAUUGGCUUUUAGUUCAGGUUUAAUAUAUGGAUCGUAUCUACCUAUCACAUAUUCUCUUGUCUCUCUUCAUAUGAUCUUAUCCCCAUUUUCAUGCUCUGUCCCUCUUCUUUUUUUUUUUUUGAUUGAUAAUGAUAUGAAUUCUAGAAAACUGAAAUGCACAUGCAAUCAUACAGUACCCACUCCAAAAAAACCAGCCUGUAAAGUCUUAAUAAACUGUAACUUAGCUUUAAAAUAACUAAUUAUUUUGUCAUCUCAUAUUCUCAUCCAGAGGAAAACAUUAUUGGUCAAUAUUAAUACGUGCCAGCAUUACAAUAACUUCGGGAGCAAAACUAUAUUAUAAUUUUAUUUGUUCUAUCUAAAUCCUGGCUGGCGAGAUUCUCCGCAUUAAUUUCGAAAUUUUCAGGUAAAAGAAACAAAAUAUUAAUUAAUGUGUCAUAUUUAUUGAAUUAGAAAGAAAACGAAACACACACCGAUCACACAACGGUGCUUCAGUUUUUUUUUUACAAAAAAAAAUAAAAAAUAAAAUCAGGAUUCUCUUCUGAUCUGAUCUUCUCAUGAGUAAAUAUACAUGUGGUGAUUGAUUGUUAAUAAAAUAAAAAAAUAAAGAAGUUAAAUCAUAUCCAUACACUAUCACUUAAAGACAGAUAACAUAAAAUCUUUUAAAAGCUCAUGAGAGCUCAGAUGAAGAGAGGAUAUUUUUUCCAAAAAAAAGAACCACAAUCACUAAUUUCUCAUAAUUUCCCCACUUCAUUUCCUCUGUAUGUAACUCCUUAAUUUGUUUAAUAAAUGAACCAUGUAUGCAUGCCCACCAUUCUGUACUCUAUAUUCAGCAUAUAUUAAAGUUAGCACGAUCUAAUGUGACAGAGGAGAGAGAAGAUAAAGAACAAGAAAAUAGUAGAAAAUUAAAUUAAAUUUACAUUGAUGGAUAAUUUAGUAAUUAUAAGUUUACAUUGAAUGAGGUUUUUGGUUAUUUUAACACAAAAGUAAUAACUCAUAGUAUGCAUAAUCGUAAAUUUUUAUAAUGUGUCGGGAUUUUUUUUUUUUUUUUUUUGUUUUAUAAUGUCUCAUCCUCACCACCCAAUGAAACGUAUUUAUGAAAGAAUAAAUUGCAUGGUUAUAGAAAAUAGAUUUUUUUUUUAAAAUUCGGAAUCUAGCCAUUUAGAUGCACCAUAAAUAUUUCCAAUAUGAGUGGUUGAGCUGCUACCCUCACACUCGUGAGAGCAGUGGUUCAAGCCCCCACAAAAAUAUUGUGGGGCUAAAAUUUCAUUCUCAAUUAUAUAAAUAAUUGUCUCUCUUGAAAUGAGAGUGUAGUCAAUAUCUCUCUGUUUGAUUGUAAAUAUAUUAGUAAAUAUUCUCAUGUAAUGUGAGUUGUAAUCAUAUACAUUAGUCUUUAUAAUAAAUAAAAAAAAAAUUCCAAUUUUAUGGCUUAUAAGAACGUCAUCAUUACGAGAUUCACUACCUUUGAAUUUCUUUAAUUCGUUAGUGAGCUUUUUUCACAUAGUCAAUAUUAUUUCAAAAACAAAAAUACUAGACAAUUCAAAAAUUAGGACUUGAAAGGUACGUCUUCUCAGCCACCAUAUAUGAGCAGCUCAUGCAGCAACGCCGCCCCUUAGGAGUGGGCAUAAAUUACACAAACGGAGCUAAUCUUGUUAAAAUUAGCUAAAAAGAUAUCAUUUUAACAGGGACUGAUAGGGACUCUAAAGAUUUAAUAUUGAUCAUACACGUCUUAAUUAUCUUUUUUUUUAAUCUAUUUGAUGAUCUCGGAUAUAUUAUAUAUAUUUCUCUAGGAUCUGUGGUAUAUAUAAACCAUGGUUAGAUGGUUUCAUUUUAGUCAACACCAUUAUCAUCAAUAAAAAAGAAUUAUAUAGCAAAGGGGAAUUUUUCUUUUUACUUUGACUGCUCAGGAAAAUAAUGACUCGUGUAAGCCGUGCAUUUUUCACAAAUUCUGUCAACAAAAUUCAACAAGUCCCAAUAGAUAGUACUGUAUCAGUAGUAAUUGGGAAUACUAUUGGCUAAUUAAUUUAAUUCGUAAUUAGACAAGUAAAUCAGAAAAAAUAUCAUGCCGUUGUUGUCAGCAUUUUGUCUAGAUUUUUUAUAUCUAAAUAUCAGUGAUAAGAUUAUCAGCAAGUCUCCAUCAACUUGUUGUUUUUUAAAUAAAUAUAAAUCAAGAUGGACCGACAAAUCUCCAUCACCUUGCUUGCUUUUUCGUAAUUAUAGGAGACUGAAAAUAUAUUUAAAAUUGUAGGGUUACCUGCUUGGAGGGGUAAGUAACUAAGUACAAUAAUUGCCAACUCAUUAAACGGCGUCGUGGUGAUUAAAAUCACGACUUCAAUCAAUAUGUUUAGAUUUUUUUUUUUUAAUGGUCAACGAUAGUUAAGGACUAAUGUGUAAAGAAAUUGAACAAGGUGGGUUCAUUUGUCAAAAUAUCCAAACCUGUGGGUUUUUUUAUUUUUAUUUCUCUAGAAGCAAAAGGUUUGAGUUGAGCCCCUCUUUUACGAAUGCGAAGAAUUACUAUUUGCCGAUGAAUAGAGUCUACAAAAGAAGACGAAGAAACUCUUCGUCAAUUAUUUGACCAAUAUAAAUAUAAAAUCAAAAGCUCCUCCCAAAUUGCUGCAGCGUCUCGAUGCAAUUAUUUCGAUUUUUUUUUUAAAUAAAAAUAAUCGAAGAUUCCUCCUCAUCUUCGCCAACUACUAGCUGUCAAGAAAGCCUCAUUAAAAUCGACAUCAUGAAUUGGACAACAGACUUCUUGGUCUAGUUGAUAAUUAAUUCAUGAAAAACAAAACCCGAAACGUGAUCCAAAAGUCGAUGUAUAAAUAAAUAAACAGAGAGAGCCCGCCUCUUUUGACGAGCGUUACAUCGUAAAUUAUUUCCAUUACCGAAAUAUAAUCAUUAAUCAAUAAAAUUUCAUAGACUAAAUAAACAAAUAUAACCAAAAUAACAAAAUAAAACGUGUUGCAAAAUUAAGAAUUUUAAAUUAAAAAAUAAAUAAAUGCAGAACCCGCCUGCUUUGACGAACGUUCCACGCAAGUAGUCUUUCUUUUUAUAAAUUGCCAGGCUGCUGCAUCCACUAGCACCCUUCACACUCCCUUUUAAAAUUCAUUUCUCCCACCAGCUUCAAUUUCAUUCUUUGAUUCAAGCCAUAAGCUGUUUUGUAAAGUUUUUCGUUUAUAUUCAAUCGGUUUACAUCUUAUUUUCUAAAGACUUUAAUAAGAAAAAGAUAAUAAAAUAAAGAAGAAGAAGAAGAGGUUUGGAUUGAACACAGCAAGAUGAGUGCCACCGUGGCAGACGAUCUAGCAAGAUCAUUUUCAGUGAGAGGGGGGCAGAGCAUAUCAUCGGGUAGCCGCCGGAGCUGGGCGUCGGCCAGCAUCCGGGAAGUAUGGAAUGCGCCGGACAACGUGUUCAGUAGGAGUGAAAGGCAGGACGAUGAAGAGGAGCUGCGGUGGGCCGCCAUUGAGCGGCUGCCGACCUACGAUCGGCUAAAGAAGGGCAUGCUAAACCAAGUUCUUGAAGAUGGAAAAGUUGUUAAACAUGAAGUUGAUGUCAGUAAUCUUGCCAUCCAAGAUAAGAAGCGGUUGCUCGAAAGUAUAUUGAAAAUCGUUGAAGAGGAUAAUGAAAAGUUCCUUAAAAGAAUUAGGCACAGAACUGAUAGGUAAACAAGUAUUUUUCAUUUUAUUUUGUUUGAUUUUGCCGAUUGAAUCAUUUGACUUUUUUUUUUUUUUUAAUGGUACACUUCUUUGUGAUUAAUGAUUGUAACAGAGUGGGAAUUGAGAUUCCUAAGAUUGAAGUUCGAUAUGAUCAUUUAUCCGUAGAAGGUGAUGUGCAUGUUGGAACCAGAGCUCUCCCUACCUUGCUUAAUGUUGCCUUGAACAUGUUGGAGGUAUUUUUUUCCCCUUUUCCAUUUAUUCUUGGUAUCUUUGUCUUCCAAUUUCUAAAAUUCUUUUGAAGAUUAAUUGUUGUUCUUCUGAUUUUUCAUGGAAAAUAGAGCGCUCUAGGAUUGUUGCAUUUAGUCCCAUCUAAGAAAAGAAGCGUUCGGAUCCUUAAAGAUGUCAGUGGGAUUGUCAAACCAUCAAGGUAAUUAAUUUCAUGAAAUAUGUUUUGUGAUCUGAUUAACCAAUAUUUGUUGUAUCGGUUACUGACAUAGAAAUUUCAGGAUGACACUACUUCUUGGUCCUCCUGGUGCCGGGAAAACAACAUUGAUGUUGGCUCUUGCUGGGAAGCUUGGUAAAGAUUUGAGGGUCUGUUUCCCAUCUCUUUACAAUUUGAUCUCUGAUUACUUUAUGUUUAAUUAUCUUAGAUAAGUUUCUGACAAUCUGGAUUUGGAGAACUGCACAGGCAUCUGGGAAAAUCACAUACUGUGGCCAUGAAUUGAAUGAGUUUGUGCCACAGAGAACCUGUGCUUACAUCAGUCAACAUGAUCUUCACCAUGGAGAGAUGACAGUGAGAGAGACACUGGAUUUCUCAGGAAGAUGCUUAGGUGUUGGUACAAGAUAUGAACUGCUCGCUGAACUUUCGAGAAGAGAGAAACAAGCAGGAAUUAAGCCAGAUCCUGAGAUUGAUGCAUUCAUGAAAGCCGUGGCAGUUGCAGGCCAAGAAACUAGUUUGGUUACAGACUAUGUUCUCAAGGUUUGCUCUCCAUUUCAACUUUGUUUUGUUUCACACGAUCGUAACAUAUUUCAUGAUACAUAAAAUUUAUUAACCAUAACAGAUUCUUGGCUUGGAUAUAUGUGCCGAUACUAUGGUUGGUGAUGAGAUGAGAAGAGGUAUUUCUGGUGGUCAGAAAAAGCGUGUUACAACUGGUAUGUUGCCCACGACAAGUCCUUGGCAAUCUUGAUUGCUCAUUCAUAAGUUUCUCUAGCAGUAGCAGCUUCUUAAAAAUUGUUGCUUUAUCUUAAAAAAAAAUUAUUUUCUUUAUUGCAAAGCAUCAACAUUUAACAAUUUUAAUGUGUGCAGGAGAGAUGUUGGUUGGAACGGCAAAUGUUCUUUAUAUGGAUGAAAUAUCAACUGGGUUGGAUAGCUCCACCACUUUUCAGAUUUGCAAGUUUUUGAAGCAAAUGGUUCACAUCCUGGAUGUAACAAUGAUUGUUGCUCUUCUGCAACCGGCACCAGAGACGUAUGAUCUUUUUGAUGAUAUUAUCUUACUUUCAGAAGGUCAAAUUGUCUACCAAGGUCCACGUGAUAAUGUCCUUGAGUUCUUUGAACACAUGGGUUUCAAAUGCCCUGAAAGAAAAGGAGUUGCAGAUUUUCUGCAAGAAGUCACUUCGAAAAAGGAUCAAGAACAAUAUUGGUUUAGAAAAAACCAACCCUACAGAUAUAUUCCAGUGUCUGAUUUUGUGGAAGGUUUUAAAUCUUUCCACAUGGGCCAGCAGAUUGCAUCGGAUCUUAGGGUCCCUUAUGAUAAAUCCCAAGCCCAUCCGGCUUCGUUGGUGAAAGAGAAGUAUGGUAUUUCAAAAUGGGAAUUGUUCAGGGCUUGUUUUGCAAGGGAGUGGCUGCUAAUGAAGCGCAAUUCGUUUGUAUAUAUUUUCAAGACUUUCCAGUUAACAUUCAUGUCCUUAAUUUGCAUGACGGUGUACUUCAGAACAGAAAUGUCAGUGGGAGAUAUGAAUGGUGGCAGUAGGUAUUUUGGAGCACUGUUUUUCAGUCUGCUCAAUAUAAUGUUUAACGGGUUUGCUGAAAAUGCAAUGACGGUUUUGAGGCUCCCCAUAUUUUACAAACAAAGGGAUCACUUAUUCUAUCCUUCCUGGGCUUUUGCCUUACCUAUAUGGCUUCUCAGGAUCCCAAUAUCAAUCCUGGAUUCAACAAUAUGGGUCGCUCUGACUUACUACACCAUAGGUUAUGAUCCAGCAGCAAGCAGGUAAUGGUAGUUCUUAGAGUCACAGUUCUAUAUCUCACAACAUUGACAGUACAACUAUAAUAUGUGGAUUUUAAGUUUUUGAUUUUUCAUAGCUAUGAGUCAGUGCUAGAUCUAACAGUUAUUUGAGUUUCUUGGACUGAAAUUUAUCUCCUUGUUCUUUCCUUUAGGUUCUUCAAGCAAUUCUUGGCAUUCUUUUCUAUUCAUAAUAUGUCUCUGCCUCUUUACCGGUUAGUUGCUGCUGUUGGAAGAACUGAAGUUAUUUCAAAUACACUGGGUACUUUCAUCUUGUUAAUCAUGAUGUCGCUUGGAGGAUUCGUCAUGGCCAAAGGUAAGCUGAUUACCUUUUUCUUUCUCACUAUUAAGUUAUUUUUGCUGGAUUAUGAACAAAAAAAUUGUACCUUUAAUAGAAAUUCUAUUCUCGUUAAGGAAUAAUGGAUCAGUUCAAUCAUUUUUUCAUUUUGUGCCUGCAGAUGACAUUGAGCCGUUUCUGAGAUGGGGCUACUAUAUUUCCCCUAUGAUGUAUGGACAGACUUCGUUACUUGUAAAUGAAUUCCUUGGUGGAAGAUGGGAUGCAGUAAGAUCUAUUUUGCUUUGACUUUUUCCUGUUGUGAUUCUCAUUCCAUUUACUGAUAUAAAUGAUAAAUGCAUUUUACACACAUAAAUAUUGUCAUCUCUUAUUUUCCUCAUUUCCUGGCCAUAAUUCAUCCGCCAUAACUCAUAUGUUUCAAUAUAUUGCAGCAAAAUAAAGACCCCAGUAUUAAUCAACCUACAAUUGGGAAAGUACUUCUCAAAAUUAGGGGCUUCUCCACUGAAAGUAAUUGGUAUUGGAUUGGCGUUGGAGCACUGACUGGAUAUUCUUUUCUCUUCAACUUUCUGUUUAUUGCAGCUUUGGCUUACUUGAAUCGUAAGUAAUCGAAUUUAAACAUUGUUUCUUUGCAUAAAAAUAAAGUUUCUAUCUUGACCAACACAAAAUGUGGGAUAUACGUUUCAGCUAUUGGUGAUUCAAAUUCGACUGUCAUAGAAGAAGAUGGAGAGAAGCAGCGAGCAUCUGGACAUGAAGCAGAAGGUUUAUGACCUUGCCUUGCCUCGUUUAGUGUUUUUUUUUUUUUCUUCCCUUCUAUUCUUGCCUUUUUCCCAUUGUCUCUGCUGGUGAUUUAGUCAGAGAUUAACAUGCAGUUGAUCUGUUUUCGUAUGAGAGGUUGAUUAACUUGUAUGCUACCAUAAUAUAGCUGCAAUUAAGCUUCCGAUUUACAAUCAAACUUUUUAUAACCUCCUAUUGGUUAUGAUAUCAAAUCGUUAUAAAUGCCCAAACUAUUUUUGAACUACUGCAGGUAUGCAAAUGGCAGUGAGAAGUUCAUCUGAAACUGUUGGGGCUGCUGAAAAUGUAACUAAAAGGGGGAUGAUUUUACCCUUCCAGCCCCUUUCACUUACAUUCGACAAUAUGAGCUACUUCGUGGAUAUGCCUGCAGUAAGUCAUCGUCUCAAUACAUGAUAAAACAUAUGACGUAAAUAUCUAAUUGCUUUGGAAACAACUCUUUUCAUUUAUGCGGCCAAAAUUUGACGUAAUUACUUGGCAUUCUACUCCAGGAAAUGAAGACUGAAGGAGUUGGAGAAGAUCGUCUUCAACUGCUACACAGUGUCAGCGGUGCAUUCAGGCCAGGAAUAUUGACAGCAUUAAUGGGUGUAAGUGGUGCGGGGAAGACAACUCUGAUGGAUGUAUUGGCAGGAAGGAAGACCGGAGGAUAUAUUGAAGGGGACAUUAAAAUUUCUGGUUACCCCAAAAACCAAGAAACAUUUGCUCGAGUGAGUGGUUAUUGUGAACAGAAUGACAUUCAUUCACCCUAUGUUACUGUCUAUGAAUCUCUCCUCUACUCAGCAUGGCUUCGUCUUUCUUCAGACGUUGAUACGAAAAAAAGAAAGGUACAUAUUUCAUCUAGAAUCCUUCUUUUCAAUGUGGUUUGACAAAUUACCUGAUGAUCCUAUUGUGUGUUUAUUUUUCUCUACUUCCUUUGUGUCUGGCAGAUGUUUGUUGAUGAAGUUAUGGAGCUUGUUGAGCUCAAAUCAUUGAAUGAUUCUAUGGUUGGCCUUCCCGGAGUAAGUGGUCUUUCGACAGAGCAAAGGAAGAGAUUGACGAUUGCUGUAGAAUUGGUUGCUAACCCUUCUAUCAUCUUCAUGGAUGAGCCUACAUCUGGGCUUGAUGCUAGAGCUGCUGCUAUUGUCAUGCGUACUGUUAGAAAUACAGUGGAUACAGGGAGAACAGUUGUGUGUACAAUCCACCAGCCAAGCAUAGACAUUUUUGAAGCAUUUGACGAGGUACUUUCCAAAUCUUAUAAGUUUUCAUCAUAAAUAUAUUAUUGUUAGUUUUUUUCAGAAAUAUGUCAUUUUGUUGCAUGUAUUGAAAAUGAUAUUGUGGUUGUUGCAGCUAUUGUUGUUGAAAAGAGGGGGCCGCGUCAUUUAUGCUGGACCUCUUGGUCACGAAUCUCACAAGCUCAUAGAGUAUUUUGAGGUUAGCAUUCCCUUUUUUCCUGCUCUUUCUGUGGAUGGCUCUCUUUAGUUUUGAAAAGACAAAUGAUAGACUUAAUCAUUUCAGUUUUAAAAAUUUCUAAUGAAUAUUUGGCUCUGAUCUUGAGUAGUAAUUGAAUUACCACUAGCAAGAAUCAAAACAUGCACUAACAUCAAUAAACCAUCAGGCUGUUCCAGGGGUUCCUAAAAUUAAGGAAGCAUACAAUCCUGCAACAUGGAUGCUGGAGGUCAGUAACAUUUCAGUUGAGAAUCAACUGGGAAUUGAUUUUGCUGAAGUUUAUGCCGAUUCAUCGCUUCAUCAGUAAGUUUGAGUCCAACACAUGAUUUCAAAUUUUCAACAUGCUACGGCUCAUUUUUAAAUUAAUUCAUUUUUCAUAUAGGCGCGGAUUUCAAGUUAUUUUAUUAAAUUAUUACUUUCUUGACACCCUUUCAGGAGGAAUAAGGAACUUAUCAAAGAGCUUAGUACUCCGCCACCUGGCUCGUCAGAUCUCUACUUCCCAACCAAAUACUCUCAACCAUUUUUAACCCAAUUUAGGGCUUGUUUCUGGAAACAGUAUUGGUCUUAUUGGAGAAACCCUCAGUACAAUGCUAUCCGAUUUGGCAUGACUCUUGUCAUUGCUAUUUUCUUUGGUUUAAUCUACUGGGACAAAGGACAGAAGACGUAAGUUGACUUCCAUUUUCUAUUUGGUUCUUAUGUUAAAUUACCAUUAGCGGUAUGAUACAAAAAAAUUCUGCAAAAUGUCAAUACUCUAAAUUUUAAUAUGAUUAUUCCUUCUAUAUAAAGUGUGCUUAAAUUGUUUGUCUUGAUGAAAAUUUGAAACUAUUGGUUUUGUAUGAAUUAAAUUGAUAUAUAUUUUUUUCUUUUUUAAACAGUUCCAAACAACAAGAUCUGCAGAAUCUUUUUGGAGCUAUGUAUUCUAUUUGUAUUUUCCUUGGAACCAGCAAUGCCAUAUCCGUGAUACCCGUUAUCUGCGUUGAGAGAACAGUAUACUACCGUGAAAGAGCUGCAGGGAUGUUUGCUGCAAUGCCUUAUGCACUUGCUCAAGUAAGAAAUACAUUUCAUCUCUUCAAGAACUUAAUGUGUUUCGAUUCUAUCUUCCCUUUGUAAUGGAUCAGAAACUUUAUUAUUUGCAAGCUGUUUAAUGAACAUCUCCUAAUGCUGCAGGUAGCCGUAGAGAUAAUAUAUGUAUCAGUUCAAAGUGUUGUGUAUGUUCUUAUCCUUUACGCGAUGAUUGGAUUCAAGUGGGAGCUGGGAAAAUUCUGCUUGUUCUUCUACUUCAUGUGGGCGUCUUUUAUCAUUUUCACAUUGUACGGAAUGAUGAUUGUCGCAUUGACUCCUGGCCAGCAAGUUGCUACCAUUGUCUUGUCCUUCUUCCUUAGUGUAUGGAACUUGUUCUCCGGUUUCCUCGUUGCCA